AGCUUUGUGCAGUGGCAGUAUCGUAGCCAAUGAGGUUUAUCCGAGGCGCGAUUAUUGCUAAUUGAAACAGAGUGGGAGAAUAUCUUUGCCACUCAUACUUCAGAUAGAGCGCUGAUUUCCAGAAUCUAAAAAAAA